UGGGGAAUUUUGGACAAUGGGCGAAAGCCUGAUCCAGCCAUGCCGCGUGAGUGAAGAAGGCCUUCGGGUUGUAAAGCUCUUUUAGUCGGAAAGAAAGAGUUGCAAUGAAUAAUUGUGAUUUAUGACGGUACCGACAGAAAAAGCACCGGCUAACUACGUGCCAGCAGCCGCGGUAAUACGUAGGGUGCGAGCGUUAAUCGGAAUUACUGGGCGUAAAGGGUGCGCAGGCGGUUUUGCAAGUCAGAUGUGAAAGCCCCGGGCUUAACCUGGGAAUUUCGUUUGAAACUACAAGGCUAGAGUGCAGCAGAGGGGAGUGGAAUUCCAUGUGUAGCAGUGAAAUGCGUAGAGAUGUGGAAGAACACCGAUGGCGAAGGCAGCUCCCUGGGUUGACACUGACGCUCAUGCACGAAAGCGUGGGGAGCAAACA
rnacentral:rRNA from 1 species